rnacentral:rRNA from 1 species
GACGUAGGGCGCGAGCGUUGUCCGGAUUUAUUGGGCGUAAAGAGCUCGUAGGCGGCUUGUCGCGUCGUCCGUGAAAACUUGGGGCUCAACCCCAAGCUUGCGGUCGAUACGGGCAGGCUCGAGUUCGGUAGGGGAGACUGGAAUUCCUGGUGUAGCGGUGAAAUGCGCAGAUAUCAGGAACACCGGUGGCGAAGGCGGGUCUCUGGGCCGAUACUGACGCUGAGGCGCGACGGCGUGGGGAGCAAACCGG